GGGGGUCCUCAAGGUCCCCAUGGGGGUCCCCGACCUCCGUGUCCUCUCCUUCUUCCUCUAAGGGGUCCCCAAGGUCCAUAGAGGGUCUUCAAAGGGGUCUCACCACCCCCUCAAGGUCCUCCUGGGGGUCCCCAAGGUCCCCAAAGGGGUCCCCAAGGUCACUAUGGGGGUCCUCAAGGUCCCCAUGGGAGUCCCCCACCUCCAUAUCUGCAUUUUCUUCCACCAAGGGGCCCCCCAGGCCCACAGGGGGUCUCCAAAGGGGUCUCACCGCCUCCCCAAGGUCCUCCUGGGGGUCCAGAAGGUCCCCACGGGGGCGCCCCACUUCUGUGUCCUCAUCUUAGGGGGUCCCCAACAACCACGGGGGAUCCCCAACGCCCAUAGCAGGGUCUUCAAAGGGGUCCUGCCACCACCCCAAGGUCCUCCGGGGGGUCCAAAAGGUCCCUAGAGGGGUCCCCAUGGUGGCCCCCCGGCUCCAUGUCCAAAUCUUCCUCACCCGGGGGGGGGGUCCCCAACACCCAUGAGGGGUCCCCGAGGUCCACGGAGGGUCUCCAAAGGGAUCUCACCACCUCCCCAAUGUCUUCACAGAGGUCCUGAAGGUCCCCAACGGGGUCCCCAAGGUCACUAUGGGGGGUCCAGAAGGUCUCCAUGAGGGUCCCCCACCUCCAUGUCCUCAACUUCUUCCUCUUAGGGGUCCCCAAAGUCCAUGGGGGGGGGGUGGGGGGGUCUUCAAAGGGGUCCUGCCACCUCACCAAGGUCCUCCGAGGUGUCCCCAAGGUCCCCCAAGGCGCCCCCCCCCAGCUCGCUACGGGGGGGCUCCCACCUCCAUGUCCUCGUCUUCUUCUUCUAAGGGGUCCCCGACACCCCCGGGGACAUUCCCGAAGGGGUCCUCCCCCUCCCCAAGCUUCUCCAGAGGGUCCCCGAGGUCCUCCAGGGGGUCCCCGAGGUCCUCCAGGGGGUCCUCCAGGGGGUCCUCCAGAGGGUCCCCAAGGUCAAGAGGGUCCCCGAGGUCCUCCAGGGGGUCCUCGAGGACACCUGGGGACAAGACGAUGGUUCAGGAUGGGGGUUGGAGGACCUUGAGGAUGUUGGAGGACAAGACGAUGGUUGAGGAUGGGAGUUGAAGGACCUUGAGGACACCUGGGGACACAGGGACACGUGGGGAUGGG
rnacentral:lncRNA from 1 species